UGUGGACUUUGGUGAAUGUCGGCUCAACGUCUCUGCAGCGAGGGAUUGGCCCGAACCUGAGAGACCCAACACAGACACACCUGAGAGACCAAACAGUGAGAGAGCGAACAGGGUCAGUUGGGGAAUGAUCUUCCUCUACUGUGAACUGGGACUGACAGCAGCAGUGCUAGUUGUGUGGUUUCUUCAUCGCCUUUAUUUAUUCACUGUCUUGUCUAAGUAACAAAGUCCAGUGGAGGCUUUAAGAAAAGUUACAGCUCAUCAGGAUCAGUGUGAACAGUUUGAUAAGCGUGGCACACCAUUAAAACACAUCCUGCCUUGAUGUUGUUCAGUAAGUGUCCAUGAUAUAAGAGUCAGAGCAGAUAAACAAUAAUGGAGUUGAUGGAGGAAACAUUGUUCUUCACCUUUGUUGUCCAUAAUUUUGACAGGACGUCUCGUCAAACUCUGUCACUUAUUAGACAGAUCUGAAAUCUGCUGUGUUCUUUUUACUGAAAUAAUGCGUAAAAACACGUCGACCUUGUACGGCAUGUGUAACUCUGUGCAUUUUGUGUUGUUGCCUAUCUGAUUAAUAAGAUAUGACAUCAACAUUGACAGUAUAUCCUGUACUGGCCUCCUGUAGGAUGUAAAGAAGAAUCAGGUGAACUAUAGAACAGAGAACAUUCAGUUAAAGUUAAAACAUUAAAUGAACUGAAGAACCGUGAACCCCUGAAAAUAUUAGAAACAUUUGUAAAGAGGUAUUUUCCUUUAAUACUGUGAUAUAUGAUGCCUCUAUAUGCACUUUGGGUUAUCUGUGUUUUGUUAUUUAACUUUUUUUUAAAUACAAAUUCAUUUAAAUCCUUCAGUUUUUUGUUUUUUUUUCAAUCUUCAAUCAAGAUUUGAUAGCUUUAGCUUUAACCUCUUCUUGUUGUAAUGUGCAGUUUGAACUGAAAUGAAGUGCUGCUGUUUGAUUUGUGUUUGUUAUUUACUGACUGUUACUGAUUGUCAUUUUGGUUCUGAAUGUGUGCUUGGAAGAAGGUCUAUACAAUAAAGGUGUUGUAUAAUAAA